rnacentral:rRNA from 1 species
UUAAGAAUUUUGCGCAAUGGGCGAAAGCCUGACGCAGCGACGCCGCGUGGACGAUGAAGGUCUUCGGAUUGUAAAGUCCAGUAGCAGGGACGAAUAAGCAAGGGGUAAUAUUCCUUGUGAUGACGGUACCUGUCUAAAGCCUCGGCUAACUACGUGCCAGCAGCCGCGGUAAUACGUAUGAGGCGAGCGUUGUUCGGAAUUAUUGGGCAUAAAGGGCGUGUAGGCGGGGAAUUAAGUUAGGUGUGAAAGCCACGGGCUCAACCCGUGAAGUGCACCUAAUACUGGUUCUCUUGAGUUCGGGAGAGGAGAGCGGAAUUCCAGGUGUAGCGGUGAAAUGCGUAGAUAUCUGGAAGAACACCAGUGGCGAAGGCGGCUCUCUGGCCUAGGACUGACGCUAAGGCGCGAA